rnacentral:rRNA from 1 species
AAUGAACGUUGGCGGCGUGGAUUAGGCAUGCAAGUCGAGCGAGAAGGGUUUGGUGCUUGCAUUGAACCCGGAAAGCGGCGAAAGGGAGAGUAACGCGUAGGACACCUGCCCUCAGGCCUGGGAUAGCGGCGGGAAACUGCCGGUAAUACCGGAUAAUGUCUCCGGACCAAAGGUGUGAUUCCGUCUGAGGAUGGUCCUGCGUCCUAUUAGUUUGUUGGUGAGGUAAUGGCUCACCAAGACGAUGAUGGGUAGCGGGCGUGAGAGCGUGGCCCGUCUCACUGGGACUGAGACACUGCCCAGACACCUACGGGUGGCUG